rnacentral:lncRNA from 1 species
AGCCCACAAAGAUCUCCGCCACGGCACAACCCAAGGGGGGCGCCAACCCAGACAGGAAGACCACGUCAGUGACUCAACACACUCAAGUGACGCACCCCCCCUAGGGACGGCAUGGAAGAACACCAAUAAGCCAGUGACUUAGCCCCUGUAAUAGGGUUAGAGGCAGAGAAUCCCAGUGGAGAGAGGGGAACCAGGCAGAGACAGAAAGGACUGUUCGUUGCUCCAGAAACCUUUCUGUUCACCUUCACACUCCUGGGCCAGACUACACUCAAUCAUAGGAUCCACUGAAGAGAUGAGUCUUCAGUAAAGACUUAAAGGUUGAGACCGAGUCUGCGUCUCUCACAUGGUUAGGCAGACCAUUCCAUAAAAAUGGAACUCUACAGGAGAAUGCCCUGCCUCCAGCUGUUUGCUUAGAAAUUCUAUGGACAAUUAGGAGGCCUGCGUCUUGUGACCGUCAUGUACGUGAUGGUCCUCCCCUUCCUCCUCUGAGGUGCCUCCACUGGCCGAUACAUCUUCAUUCCAGUCUAAUCCCUACGGAGUUGGUUAUACAGCACAAACUGAUCUGAGACCAGGACCUCGAUCCAGCCGGUAUACGUGUUGCACAAUGACACUCUAGUCUAUUCUUUGGAAAAUGAUUAUACAACAAGCCUGUCAUGUCAGCGGAGACACGAGGUGUGGUGAGCCUGCCUGGACUGACUGUUGUCAGGGGGGCUGAUAGGAGUGGAGUUGUGUUUCAUCAUCCAUUGAUGGCUGUCCUCUUGACAUCUGAUAUCAGUUGGCUGGCUGCUGACAGGGAACAGUGCCACGGACCCUCUUACUCUCUUGGUGCCCUUCGGACACACAUAACAACACGGCAAGGUGACCAGACAGCAGUGGAACAAACAUGAAAUGAUUGAACUCCCUGACCCUGCAAGCUUUAUAGCUGUUGUGUACUAGACUACAGCACAACAUCAUACCCCCUGACACUUUAUUAGCCUUCUUUGUUAGAUACAUGCUAAUUAGCGUCUGUGGAGGUCGCCUUUUAGGACAUCUGGCGUGCAGAACAUUUCUAGAACGCUCACAGACACGAGUUUGAAAAUGUAGUGAUGGUUAUCUUGUAGUUUGCCAUUGUCUGAGUGAUUAUUACAGUCGCUCAGACUCAUUUAGAUGGCAGAUAUUCAUCAGAAUCCGUUUGAUAUUUGGACAUAAUUACAGAACAUUCAGGGGCAGAAAUGACACUUCUAUUUGGAACCAAGCCAUCUCGCUACUACAUUAUUGCACUUAGUGUUGCAAUGCAAUGGGUUGUGCCAUAAACGUG